GACAGAGGUGCCGAGCGUUAGGCGGAAUCACUGGGCUUAAAGCGUGUGUAGGCGGGUCGUUAAGUGCCUUGUGAAAUCCCACAGCUCACCUGUGGAACUGCUUGGCAUACUGGCGAUCUUGAGCCACUUAGGGGCAACCGGAACAAACGGUGGAGCGGUGAAAUGCGUAGAUAUCAGGAAGAACACCGGUGGCGAAAGCGCUCUGCUAGGCCGCAACUGACACUGAGGGACGAAAGCUAGGGGAGCGAAUGGG
rnacentral:rRNA from 1 species